GAUGAACGCUGGCGACGUGCCUAAUACAUGCAAGUCGAGCGAACAGAUGAGGAGCUUGCUCCUCUGACGUUAGCGGCGGACGGGUGAGUAACACGUGGAUAACCUACCUAUAAGACUGGGAUAACUUCGGGAAACCGGAGCUAAUACCGGAUAAUAUAUUGAACCGCAUGGUUCAAUAGUGAAAGACGGUUUUGCUGUCACUUAUAGAUGGAUCCGCGCCGCAUUAGCUAGUUGGUAAGGUAACGGCUUACCAAGGCAACGAUGCGUAGCCGACCUGAGAGGGUGAUCGGCCACACUGGAACUGAGACACGGUCCAGACUCCUACGGGAGGCAGCAGUAGGGAAUCUUCCGCAAUGGGCGAAAGCCUGACGGAGCAACGCCGCGUGAGUGAUGAAGGUCUUCGGAUCGUAAAACUCUGUUAUUAGGGAAGAACAAAUGUGUAAGUAACUAUGCACGUCUUGACGGUACCUAAUCAGAAAGCCACGGCUAACUACGUG
rnacentral:rRNA from 1 species